GUCAAAGGGGCCCUUAAUUAUUCACCCAUCCCAGAGGCAUCGUUUGAAGAAAGUGCCUUCUUUAAGGGCAUUGGCUGCCUAGAUGUGUUCAAAUAUAAAUGUGUGUGUGUAUACUUACAUUUUUAAUAGACUUUUAUUUUGGAAUAAUUGUAGAUUUACAGAAAAGCUGCAAAGAAUAGUACAGAGAGUUCCCUCAAAUUCUUCGCCCAGUUUCCUCUAACAUUUGCAUCUUACACAGCCAUGGCACAUUUGUCAAAACUAAGAAAUUAACACUGGUAUUACUUUUAACUAAAGGCUUUUUUGGAUUUUACCAGUUUUUUCACUCAUGCCUUGUUUUGUUCCAAAAUCCAACCCAGGAUAUCACACUGCAUUUAAUCAAAUGUAAAUACGUAUGCUUUAACUUUUUUAUUUUAAAAUAAUCAUAGAUUUACAGGAAAUUGCAACAACAACAAAAAAAGUACAGAGAUUCUGUGUACCCUUCCCCCAGUUUCGUUCAGUGGUAACUCCUUGUAUAACUACACAAUAUCAAAACCAUGAAAUAGAUAUUGGCACAAUCCAUAGACAGUAUUAAAUAUACAUGCAUAUAUAUAUAUUUUUAAGUGAAAAAUAUUUUUAAACCUCGCUUUGCCUCACAGCCAAGAAGAUCAAAUACUUUCUCCAAAAACAUAGAAUUUGUAUCUAACUCCACUCGCUCCAAACUCAAGUCCAACCAUGAAAUUAUUGAUCCCUCUCUCUAACCCUCCAACUACAGGCAAGAAGCUGCCCAUACAUUCCCCAAAGCAGGAGUGCACUCUGCCACAGGCCUAGAUGCCGUCAACCUCCUGGACCUUGAACUCCCUAAAUUAAUGGCCUCUGUGUGAGUAUGUGUAAGCAGCCCCUCUCUGUCCCAGUCCAUCCUAAAAUCACUCCCUUGGAGCCACCACUGCCCCUCUCAUCUUCUAGAAUUUCUAGAAAGAUAAAGAGCUAGAUAAGCAUCUAGGUACCUUUCUUCUGCUGUUAGCUCUAAAGACAAGUGAAUAUAUCCUAGCUAGGAUGUACUCUAAGGAAUAGGUUACUUGAAAAUGAUUUCACCUGAACUCAAAUGAAUAAGCUGGCUACUGCAUAAAGCAACAGAGGGGUCCCUUUAAUUUAAAAGCUCAGGACUCUGAAUCAAUUGCUGGUUGGGAGAAGGUAGAGACAUUCUUUACUUCUGCCUAGAACUGGGGAAAAUGGCGUAGACUUCUGCUCUGAAGCAGUCCUCAGUGCUGCUUCGGUCAGAACUCCCGAGAGGCAUCUGAGUGCUGGCCUGUCACUGCGGCUGGCAUUCCAGGCAUUUCAUUGGCCCCACUUCAGCCCACGCCUGGCUCCACGGGGCUGGGCAGCUGAGGGGAGUUUGUGGCAGAGUGGGCAUGGGGCACGGCCCGUGCAAUGUGCGUUACAAAGGGGCUCUCUCUGAAGCAAGUCCUCUGCACUCCAGUCUAUUUGAGGAAGAAAAGGACAAUUCCCAUAGGGAGGGGGUUUGCUGAAGCAACCAGCUGCCUGGUUUCCUCUCCAGCAUUGAGAGGGAGGGAGGGCUGGCUUAACUGGGGGACGGCCUUCUCAUCUGGACUGUGUCAAGGCCAAGGUUAGGCUCCAAAUUCCAGAAAACCUCUCUGCAGGGUCUUCUUUCAGAGUGGUGAGAAUGGAAGCAGGCUCCCUUCCCCUCCAGCACUAGGAAGCCCCGCAAUUGGUGAGGUGCAAAGAAAGAUGGGCCCAGGCAGGGAGGCGGGAGCAGGGGAGGUGCCCAGGGCAGUGGCUGGAAGGGCAACGGGAGAAGCAGCAGAGGCUGGGGGUGGGGGUCGCAGCAGGUGCUGUCCCUGGCCUGUGUGAAAGGUACUAGAAGGCCCCAUCCUUGGUGCCACAUGGACCCCAGAGGCUUGUCUUAGUCCAUGGGGUCCGAGGUGUAAGACACUUACGUUUGGCGUCACCUCUUAGGCUUGGAUGAAUUUCAGAAAGUGCUAGACUGGAGAACAGUGGAAAAAAUCAGUGGAACAAGAUCUGGAGCACUCACUGCUCAAUGUCAAUGUUAGAGAGCACAACGACACCAAUGGGAGGAGGGUGAGGACCAGAGGCUGAUUGCAUGAGCUCUGUUGGAGUGCAGGACCCACUAACGGGUUAUCUCAGGGUUCCUGGAGGCCACGGCUGUGCCUUGUGGUCCAAGACCUGGGGAAGCCACCACUGUGUCUUCCCUCUCCAUCCUCCGGUGACUUUGGUCCAAUUCCUGUUGCCAUGGCAAUCAGCCCAGCUGGCCUCACAGUUCACUGGCCUCAAAGUUGGCAUCUGUAGGUGAAGCCAGUGGGACCCAGAGAACUUAAUUCUUCUCAACUGAGCUGGCUUGGAGGAACUUUUCUCAUCAGCCACUGGAGCAGAGAACGUCACCAGCGUCUCACUGACGUCAACAUCCUGGGCCUGGCUCUAGCUGAAAAGGAAAAUUCUCCCCAAGGCAGACACAUCUCCCGAAGCCCACACAGGCACUUUCUAUGAUUGCACUGGAAAUCUGUCUCCUGGGGACAGGGAGCGCGUACGCUCACAGUCAAGUCACAAUGUUGAGCAGUCUCCAGGACUCCACGUUCAUCUCUAAGAACAGGAGCCGGUGGUUGGGCGCAGAUUCUUGAGCCAGAUUGCUCGCGUUCAAAACCUGGUCCCUUUUUAUUAAUUGCAUGCUUAGUUACAUUUUCUGUUUGUACUUUUGUUUCCUUCUCUGCAAGACGGGGUUAAUCACAGACACUUGUACAUGAUGUAAUACACUUACAAUACUUAGGACAGGCCUUCCUGCAUAGUAAGUGCUCUGCAAACACUGGCUACUAUUCUCCCUACGUGCAAACUUCUCCCAGCCAAAAGCCGCCCACACCAAGCCCCUGUGCCUUUUUCCUUCCGCACCCACGAGCAGGCUGCUCCUGGGGCCCUGGAGCUCACUUUCCCAGCCGCCCUCACCACCCACCGUGGCGCAGAAGAGCUUCCGAAGUCCUGGCGUCUCCCACUGGUCUGGGCAUCUCUCGCUUCAUCUUCCCUCUUGGGCCCCACAACGUGCAGCACUUCUAGGGCAGUAUACUUGCUGAUUGCUUCCUUACUAUUGCUCACAACAACCA
rnacentral:lncRNA from 10 species